rnacentral:rRNA from 1 species
AAGAGUGCGUAAUAGCUCACUGGUCGAGUGACAUCGCGCCGAAAAUGUACCGGGGCUAAACAUACAACCGAAGCUGCGGAUAUAACUAAUGUUAUAUGGUAGGAGAGCGUUCUAACAUCAUAGAAGCCGAGCUGGAAGGCGAGGUGGAGAGGUUAGAAGUGAGAAUGCCGGUGUGAGUAGCGAAAGAUAGGUGAGAAUCCUAUCCACCGAAAGACUAAGGUUUCCAGAGGAAGGCUCGUCCGCUCUGGGUAAGUCGGGACCUAAGGUGAAGCCGACAGGUGAAGCCGA